GACGAACCGUCCAAACGUUAUUCGGAAUCACUGGGCUUACAGAGUUCGUAGGCGGUCUGGAAAGUUGGGUGUGAAAUCCCUCGGCCUAACCGAGGAACUGCGCUUGAAACUACCAGACUCGAGGGAGAUAGAGGAAAGCGGAACUGAUGGUGGAGCGGUGAAAUGCGUUGAUAUCAUCAGGAACACCGGUGGCGAAGGCGGCUUUCUGGGUCUUACCUGACGCUGAGACGCGAAAGCGUGGGGAGCGAACAGG
rnacentral:rRNA from 1 species